rnacentral:misc_RNA from 1 species
UGGAAGCCAGUGUUGGAGAACAG